rnacentral:rRNA from 1 species
AAGUCGUAACAAGGUUUCCGUAGGUGAACCUGCGGAAGGAUCAUUAGUGAACGCCCUCACGGGCUUAUAACUAUUCCAAACCUCUGUGAACCGUGCCCUUCGGGGCUAUUUUACAAACAUGGUGUAAUGAACGUCAUAUAUCAUAACAAAACAAAACUUUCAACAACGGAUCUCUUGGCUCUCGCAUCGAUGAAGAACGCAGCGAAAUGCGAUAAGUAAUGUGAAUUGCAGAAUUCAGUGAAUCAUCGAAUCUUUGAACGCACCUUGCGCCCUCUGGUAUUCCGGAGGGCAUGCCUGUUUGAGUGUCAUGUAGACUCAAUCCCUCGGGUUUCCGAGGAGAUGGGACUUGGGUGUUGCCGCUCUGCCGGCUCGCCUUAAAAGACUUAGCGGGAUAGCACCGUAGUCGGCGUAAUAAGUUUCGUCGGUGAAGGUUGUGAUGACUGCUUACAAUCGCCCUCGGGCAAUUUUUGACUCUGACCUCAAAUCAGGUAGGACUACCCGCUGAACUUAAGCAUAUCAAUAAGCGGAGGAAAAGAAACUAACAAGGAUUCCCCUAGUAGCGGCGAGCGAAGCGGGAAGAGCUCAAAUUUGAAAGCUGGCGUCCUUCGGGCGUCCGCAUUGUAAUCUAUAGAGGCGUUUUCUGUGCUGGACCGUGUCCAAGUCCCUUGGAACAGGGUAUCAAAGAGGGUGACAAUCCCGUACUUGACACGACAACCAGUGCUCUGUGAUACGUCUUCUACGAGUCGAGUUGUUUGGGAAUGCAGCUCAAAAUGGGUGGUGAAUUCCAUCUAAAGCUAAAUAUUGGCGAGAGACCGAUAGCGAACAAGUACCGUGAGGGAAAGAUGAAAAGCACCUUGGAAAGAGAGUUAAACAGUAUGUGAAAUUGUUGAAAGGGAAACGAUGGAGGUCAGUCGUGUCUGUGGGAUUCAGCCGUCUCUGGCGGUGUACUUCCCACAGACGGGUCAACAUCAGUUUUGGUCGGCGGAUAAAGGCAGGAGGAAGGUGGCACCCCCGGGUGUGUUAUAGCCUCUUGUUGCAUACGCUGGCCGAGACUGAGGAAUGCAGCUCGCCUUUAUGGCCGGGGUUCGCCCACGUUCGAGCUUAGGAUGUUGACAUAAUGGCCUUCAACGACC